AGAGUUAGAGGAAAAACUUCCGAAAUAUGGGAAUAUUUCAGGCCAACUGGUAAAAGAGUUGUCUGUACACUCUGUCAAACUUCACUUGGAAACACACAGGAGUUGUUCAAGACGUUUGGAGCGUUUUUUUCUCUCCUCCAUAUCACCUCUGGGGCUCCGUAAAUAUGCGCUCACAGAAAAGGAAAAGACAACAAAGCAGUCCGCCGUCUUCACAACUCCGAGACAAACUGUAGCAGGCGCUACGAACCGGAGCAAGGACUAACCUCGCCUCAUAACGAGGCCGUGACCUAUAUUUGCUCGGAGCUGUCUGCCGGUCCAGAUUUACAUUACGCUGAUAAUGACGCCAUUGUGUCUGCCUGUAAGACAUAUCACCAGACAGCAGCAGGAG